rnacentral:rRNA from 1 species
AAACCGUUCAGGGGUAAACCUAAGAAACCCAAAAGAUCGAACGGGGAGAUUCAUCGUCAGCGGCGCUGGCCUCACGUCGGUGGGCGAUGUCUCGCAGAGUCGCUUGCGGCUCGAGCGCGGGCACGCUACCGCGCGUCGACGUCCGGCGCUCGUCGUCGUGCACUUCUCCCCUAGUAGAACGUCGCGACCCGCUGGGUGUCGGUCUACGGCCCGAGUGCGGUGACUGUCGCGUCGCCGGUAAAACGGCACGCGGCAAACCCUCGGUCGCCCGACCGGCUGCCCGACGGUACACGCAAGGUAUCAGGCCGCACUCUCUAUGUGUUGUGCGUCGAGACCGUCGCAAGCGCGCGCCCACGGUACACGGCGGUACGGACCUAGCGCCGUCCCCUGUCCUGGCCCGCUGUUGGUCGUACGGUACACCUUCGACAGGCCUUCGAACGUGCUCUCCCCGGAGAGCUCCGAUACCGGUCGGCGACGCUACUGCUUUGGGUACUCUUAGGA